rnacentral:lncRNA from 1 species
CUAUUUUUAUCAUUCUUCUUGUCUCAAAAUUAGUAUUUAAAUAAAAUAUAGUUAAGUCAGUAGUUAAAAUAAAGAAAGCAAAGAAACUAGCUCGUAUACACGAGGUUUCAAUAAGAAAUACAUUUAUGAGCGAAUACGGCCAAUAACUUUAAUUUCGAUUGGGUACUUAAGUACUAUCGCAACCAUCUUGGCGCAAUUUGGCGAUUUUUGAGGAUUACAAUGCAAAAGUUACUUAGCAAGUGCAAGUUGGCGGUUUUUGCGCCUUCUUUUUUUAGAAAGAUUCCCAAUCUGUCGAUAUUUAUAAUAAUCAAAUUUGGUAAACAAUAUCAACAUAGGAAAAGAAAACAUAUUUUAGCAAUUUAAAAUACAAAUUUCAAUUAGCAAAUAAGGAUUAUGUCAUACAUUAAAAAAUAAAACACAUUCUUCGAAUCUUUCUGUGAUUUUGUUUCCUACUUUAAUCUUCUCCCGAAGUACACAGCGAUCUAUUUCCACUUAAAAAUAUCAGACAACUGCAUAGACUCCGCUUCGCGCAAUCUUCGACAACAUCGGCUAUCUAAAGAAUGCAUUUCCUCGUUGUUUGCCUUUAAAAAAUUUUCAGGAAAAUUCAAUAUUACUGCCGAAAUUUUACCGUAGGUUCUUCCAUUGCUGACGAAUUUCAAAAGCUCAUAUUUUGAAAUUGAGUUGAAGAGAAAAAAUAUGACGAAUUGUAUAUAAAAACGUUGGAACACAACAAAAUACAACGCAUAAGAAAAUGGUGGCGUUGCUGGACUGAAACGAUUAUUAUAAGCAUGGUUGCUGGAACAAUGGUUAUGCGCAUGGUUGCCAGAUUUUGGCACUUUACUCAAAAUUUGGCUUUUUUUACUAAAGUAGUUGCGAUACUACUUAAGUACCGUCGAUUGCUUUCAAUUAGAAAAUUUAUGUAAGAACCGUAAAUGCAGAUUUUUCUCUCCGUAAAAAGUGGUUAGUAGUUAAUUGCCCUUUUUCUCACAAUCUAGUUACAUCUAAACCAUUUGGUACUAAUUGCUAAGUUAGCAGGUUUUCGUUGUGAUAUAUAUUUAUCACAAGUUUUUUUUUUUAUAUCUUUUGUAUUUUAUUUAUGUGUAUUCAUUUUAAAGUUGAAUUUUUGACUUUGAAAUCAAGUAGAGACACGACGAAGCCACGUAAUAUUUUAAGGCUGACAGAGUAAAAAUAGUUAAGAUUAAAUCAAUUUGUUUGUGUCUACUGAUAAAAUACUUCUAGUUAAAGAUUUACUAGAAAUAGUUUUCAUCAACAAGAUCAAACAACAACAAAUAUUAAUGCAUUAGGCAAACAGAUGCAAAUACAAUAUUUUCUCAAGCAAGAUACAUGAGAGUUUCUCUUUGUAUAGUAUAUCACGAAACACGGCAUGAUAAUUCAUUCUACAAUCUAAACUGCAAAGACACAUACAGUAUAUAUUUAUAUACAUAUAUAUGUAUAUAUAAUUAUGUAUAUAAUUUUAUUGUUAAGGCUUCUCUAAUUUUGUAAUGAACAAGUAAAUAUUCGAAAUUUUUUAAGUACUUGUAAUACUCCACAAGCAGAAAAGUGAACGUUCAUGAAAAAUGUCGCUUCGUUGUUGAAAGACUGCUUUACUAAUUUAUAAAUAGUACAUCGCAUUCAAACUGCAAGCAAUGCGUACCUCAGAAUCUUUAUAAACCAUCCAAAAUCUGUGAAAGAGUUCAUCAUUGUGUACAAGAAUUUAUUUAAAACGAAAAUUAAGUUCUUUAAGUGUGUGCUUAAUAUAAAUCAAAAGGAAAGUGUUAAAUUUUAUAAAAAUCGAUUGAUGGAAAAUAGAGAUUAAAAAAGCAACUCCUAAAAACGUUUCUUUAAGGGCCAUCACUUGCAUUUGCUUUGUAAAUUGGAAAAAAAAUUAAAAUUUAGAGUUAAAAAUUUAAUAGGUUAUCUAAUUAAUUAAUGGAAUCCUUUUCAUUUGUAUACUCUUAUUUUUCCAAUACUUAAAAAUAGCGCGUUAGUGGCGCCAUCUAUGGAAUAGAUAAUUAACUAAAAGCAGAGGAUCACAUAUUACAUAGUUACCAAAUAUUUUAUAGUAAACGUAUUAUUUCAUACUAAUACAAUGCAUUCCUGCUUGUACUGAAAGGAAAUAAUAAGGUGUCCUCAAAACCCCUAAACAACUUUACCCUAUUAUUGCCAGCAUUCUGUAAGAGGUGGUGCUGUGAAUGUUUGUAGUGCCAUUAGAUACAUAUCAAAGUUUUUUUUCAACAAUUUGCUUUGAUUUAAUAUACACAUAAUGUGAGGAUUUAAGGAUCCGAAAAUCCUCAUAUACAAGGAAGCUGAAGCAGGACAGAUCGAAAGUGAAUGUUUGAUGUGAGAUGUUGCAUACGACUUUAGGACCAUUUGCCUUCAAUGGUCAGAGUUUGCCUCGGUAAACUGACUAAGUAUAUUUGUCCACAGUUGGAGGACUGUAAAAAAGAGGUCAUUUUAUCGCAUGUCAGGGUUGUGUAACUUGUGACACUUGUCAGAAAGGUUUGAACCAGGUUGACACUUGUCACAAAGGUUUGAACCAGGUUGACACUUGUCACAAAGGUUUGAAGCAGGAUAGAUCGAAAGUGAAUGUUUGAAGUGAGAUGUUGCAUAAGACUUUAGGACCAUUUGACUUCAAUGGUCACAGUUUGCCUCGGUAAACUGACUAAGUAUAUUUGUCCACAGUUGGAAGACUGUCAAAAAGAGGUAAUUUUUAUCGCAUGUCAGGGUUGUGUAACUUGUGACACUUAUCACAAAGGUUUGAACCAGGUUGACACUUGUCACAAAGGUUUGAAGCAGGAUAGAUCGAAAGUGAAUGUUUGAAGUGAGAUGUUGCAUAAGACUUUAGGACCAUUUGACUUCAAUGGUCACAGUUUGCCUCGGUAAACUGACUAAGUAUAUUUGUCCACAGUUGGAAGACUGUCAAAAAGAGGUAAUUUUUAUCGCAUGUCAGGGUUGUGUAACUUGUGACACUUAUCACAAAGGUUUGAACCAGGUUGACACUUGUCACAAAGGUUUGAAGCAGGAUAGAUCGAAAGUGAAUGUUUGAAGUGAGAUGUUGCAUAAGACUUUAGGACCAUUUGCCUUCAAUGGUCAGAGUUUGCCUCCGUAAACUGACUAAGUAUAUUUGUCCUUAGUUGGAGGACUGUCAAAAAGAGGUCAUUUUAUCGGAUGUCAGGGUUGUGUAACUUGUGACACUUGUCACACAGGUUUGAACCAGGUUGACACUUGUCACAAAGGUUUGAACCAGGUUGACACUUGUCACAAAGGUUUGAAGCAGGAUAGAUCGAAAGUGAAUGUUUGAAGUGAGAUGUUGCAUAAGACUUUAGGACCAUUUGCCUUCAAUGGUCACAGUUUGCCUCGGUAAACUGACUAAGUAUAUUUGUCCACAGUUGGAAGACUGUCAAAAAGAGGUAAUUUUUAUCGCAUGUCAGGGUUGUGUAACUUGUGACACUUAUCACAAAGGUUUGAACCAGGUUGACACUUGUCACAAAGGUUUGAAGCAGGAUAGAUCGAAAGUGAAUGUUUGAAGUGAGAUGUUGCAUAAGACUUUAGGACCAUUUGCCUUCAAUGGUCAGAGUUUGCCUCCGUAAACUGACUAAGUAUAUUUGUCCUUAGUUGGAGGACUGUCAAAAAGAGGUCAUUUUAUCGGAUGUCAGGGUUGUGUAACUUGUGACACUUGUCACACAGGUUUGAACCAGGUUGACACUUGUCACAAAGGUUUGAAGCAGGAUAGAUCGAAAGUGAAUGUUUGAAGUGAGAUGUUGCAUAAGACUUUAGGACCAUUUGCCUUCAAUGGUCAGAGUUUGCCUCGGUAAACUGACUAAGUAUAUUUGUCCACAGUUGGAGGACCGUCAAAAAGAGGUCAUUUUGUCGCAUGUCGGGGUUGUGUCACUUGUGACACUUGUCACAAAGGUUUGAACCUUCCUUGCGAAAGAACGACCACUACUAAAUAUAUAAAUUUUUCCAUUCUUAAGUAAUCUGUUAAAGUUAUUUAGGGACCUUUGUGGACACCCAGUAACCUUUCUGUUAAUAUUUUGUAUACCAAAAGGAUAACAAAGUAUUUUAUGAACUGAAUUCUAUUGCAGCAGUGGUCACAAAUUAUAUGAACAUCCUUAACCAGAAAACAAAAUGCUUUGAAAAAUAUUUUGAUGAUAAUAACAGUAAUAAUAAUAAUAAUAAUAAUAAUAAUAAUAAUAAUAAUCGAUUACAGGAAAAAGAUGGUACUUUGUAAUAUUUCUUGCGUAAUAUAGUAAGAAAAAUGCAAUUUAAAAUGAAAUAUACUAAAAUUUAUUUUUAGUGAUUUUGUAAAUUAUAAUUCUGGUAUAAAAACAGCUUAGUCUUCUAAAAACACAAAAAAACAAAAAUAUUUGCAUUAAAAACACCAACAUAUUUGCAUUUAAAAGCACUUUGUUGAAAAUGAGCAAUUAAAUUAGUAUAAACGCUUCUCUUCGAAGUUUAUAAUUUAGCUCUAAAAAUCGAAGAAUUACAAUUAAAAGUUUCUAUCUCUUCAUUCUGCUUCAGUUUGCAAAACUUUCAGUAUCAUCGUAUUAUUAUGCUAGAAGCAUUUAAUACAUCAAUACAUAUUUUUACAGUUUUAGUUUUGUAAUUAAUUCGUUUUAAUAGCUUUUGAAAUGUUUCGGGUGUUUUUUUUAAUCCUUCGAAGAACAUUAAGUUAGCAACAUCUGUUUCUUAUGUAACAUAUCACAAAUACUGUACUUAAAUUUCAUUCGCUUUCACAUAAACGUUUUUCUUACAUGUAUCAAAUUACUUUUAAUUAAAGCUUUUUUACAGUAUUAAUGUAUAAGAAUUUACUUUUGUUACAUCAAAGUGCUCAUUUCACAAACUUUUCACGCCUAUUAAUUUCUGAAAAACAUCAAACGUUAAAAUUAUUAUUUCAUUUACAAUGGUGAACCGUUUCAUAAGCAUUUUUAUUCUCCAAGUUCGUACAAUGUAAAAACAAGAAGAUAUGACUUUAUUUAUUCCACGAAGAUAUGACUUUAUUUAUCUCUGCUUUUGUUGGCAAAAGUGCUUUACACAAAGUACUGUUUAGAAUAUUAAGAUAAAAUACAGCUUAAAUAAUUAGUUUUUAAGCAACACAAUAUAACAAAUUAUGCCUUCAUUUAUAGUAGAAUCAUCAGUAUGUAAGAUAACAUCUAAAAACAGUUAUCAUAAUUUGAGACAAACAGUUCGAAUCAAUUUCGUAAGAGUUAAGACAUUUUGCGGUCAAUCAAUUUAGUUUCUCGGCGAAAAUAGGCUUCCAAUAUUUUGGUUCGAUGUCACAGAUCAUCCUCCAAGCUCUUCAAACACGAAAGGCGUAGAGAUCGUAGUUUAUAAUAAAGCUGCUAAUUCAACAGAUAUAUUGCCUAUCCAAGACAUACCGGUGUUGGCUUACCUGGAACAGUUUGCUGAGUUCAAGAUAUUUAGCUUUUUUCUGCAUUAUAUCAACACCGAUGUUAUAUUUUGAUGGUGGUAGAACAUUUACUUCUUCAACAACAAUAAACUUCUGUGUUAUUUUUAACCUCAAUUAUGCCCUAAUCUUAGGACGACAGAUCUACGACGAUGAGAUAAUAGGUGGACUGGCCAAAGAGUGCAAGCCUUAAAGAUGGUGGCCGUCUUUCUAUCUCGGAACUUGCUUCGCGGGUCAAGUUAGAAAUCAACUCCUCUUCGAGGAAUGUGGUUCACACACAUGAGUGGUACGUUGGUAACCACCCUGGCGCAGCUCUAACAGAGGCAAGCAAUAGAUUGGAGCAAACGGCUCUAGCUAAGCUGCGCACUGGUCAUCUGCGCGUUCUAUGUUUUAUGUCGAGCAAUAAAGUCCACCCCUUUUAUCCGAAAUGCUACUUGACCCAAGCCAUUCCUGCCUAUAUCUUGUCUUGCAUUGGUUGCCUGAAAAGCCAACUGCUCUCCUUCCUGGUUACGUUCUUCGGGCUUUUGAUGGACCUGAUCUGAUGUUGCGGUCGAAUAGGUGGGAUGAGCCACAAGCAACAAACAGGACGACGCUGUCCUAUCUGCAAAUGAAUGAUUCAAGAAGUUACAUCUAUGAACUAAUUGCCAUGAACUAUGGAAUUAGAGGUAAACCUUGCCUGGACUUCUGUUGCAAACAAGAUAGUAUGCGUAAUCCAUUUUUAUGAAUAACAUUUUAUUCAAAUUUCAUUGAAAUCAAUCAAUCAGACUGAGUCACUCUUGAUCUUCCAGAUUUAUGCAGUCAUUGAUUUCAAAUUACAUCAAAAUAUUGGAAGUCUUUCAGCCAAUGAUUGAACCAAAUUAACCCAAAAGUUUUAAGUUUUUGUGAGGUGAUCUGAGCUAUUGCAGGGUUUUAAAAAUAGCAUAAAUUAUACAGUUUUACUAAAAAUAAUUACAGCUUGAUUACAAUAGCAUAAAAGUUCACAUAUUUAACUUACUGUAAGAAUUAUUUCUUCAGUUCUGUUAUAACAAUCUUAAAAUUUAGAUUCUGGAAAACGUUUUUGCACCUUUCACAUAAAUCACAUGAUACACUUUCUAAAGUUUUAUUUCUUAUCACAGCUGACCAAACUUUCACUGUUUCCUAUCCUGGACGAUUCUCAUUAUAAUAACCUUCACGCUUUCUUUGUCUUUUACUGUUUAUUGAACAGCAGUCGGCAUAUACAGAAAUAGCCAUUAGCUUGAUCAAAUAUUACACUAGAAAUAGCACACUGAAUUCAGACUAGAUUCGUUAGUAAUGACGUAUCUAG